AAAAAAGGGCCCACAAGAGCAAACGGUGAAAGAACGAAGAGGCUUCAAACCAAAAUCCCAGCCUCAAUUCUUCAUAGAGAUGUCAGACGCCUUGUCAUUCUACUUCCCAUUGAAGAACAAACAGAGGUGUGAAGGGCUUGUGUGACCUCUCUGGAUUUGAAAAAACCAGGAGCUCAAGUGGGAGGUGUUGAGCUGAAUCUCAGGAGUGAGUCAAAGAACUACACUUCCCAGAGUGCACCAGCAAACCAGCUGCUUGUCACCUGAUCAGUCAUUUUCACUGAUUUGGAGCACCUGUGAAGGCAUGGAGGGGCUCAGUCAUUCAGAAGAACAAACUUCAGAGAGAAGACUCCAAGUUCACUCAAAGGUUCAGUCCAAAGACGCCAAUGGUUUACAACCUAAUUUACUGGCUAAUUUACUGGCUAAUUUACUGGACAGACCAAUCAACUGAAAGCAA